GGCUGAGUAAUAUGCCCAGGAUCUCACAGAAAAAUGAGUCUGAGUACCUAUCGGGCCAGGAAAGGAUGUGGGGAAACCUCAGAUGCAUACUACUAGGUGAAAAGAAGCCAAUCUGAAAAAGCUACAUGGCAUAGAAGUCCAACUACAAGACACGCUAGAAGACGCAAAACAUGGAGACGGUAAAAGGGGUGGAUGGCAAUUUCUUUCCUCUUCCAGCCAUGAUGUAGUGAAGUUACCAUGGAGAUGUAUUAAAUUCCUAGGUGAGUCCAACUUAACAGGCACCUGAGAAAAAGGAGAAGGACAAAUCUCUCUGACAAGGAUAAGGACCUGAGCCUGGAGGUGAUCUAGCUUGUCUGCUGGCCCUCAGUUAACCAAUGUCACACCUGGAUUAAAGUUUCUGGCUUCCUCACUCCUGGCGUCCACUGGUCUUUAUAUUGUUUUUUAUUUUUAAUUUUUAAAAUAUUUUACUGUUUUGUUUCAUUUUAUUUUUUUAGAACUCGGACCUGUAGCCAGGUCGGGUGGCACCUGCUUGUAAUUCCAGCACUCUGGGAAACUGAAGCAGGAAGAUCUCAAA